AUUGGCGUUUAAGAGCUGCGACGUAUUAUGUACACCGUAUAUAUGUAGCUGUGAUAUAAUACCACAUUAUCGCAAUCGACAAAUUGUGUUGCUACCAAGCAGCACGCGACUUGUUUAUAAUUAUUACCACCGUUCCAAGGACGGAGAUCAAAUCAAAUGUUCCAGUUCGUUUUAAAGCUGUCGUGACUGGAAAUAUUCUACACUCUUCUUGUGCCAGAUGAAAUAUAAAUAGCAGGUCGUUGGUAUUUUGGAUUGGCCUCGCUCGAUGACUUCAGCAGCCGCGCAUAGUUGCCAAAUGACGUUGUGAAAUACGUUGGGCGACUGGCGAGGUCGUAUUUCUGUUGCGCUGUUGCCAUGCGGGUCUCGGCACCCGCCCUGAGCUUGCCUGAUACGCUUAAAAUGAGCUUUUCGUGAUGUAUACUGCGCAGCUGCAUUAUAAUCUGUUCCAGUGUUGCUAUGGCGAUAAUAGAAUCCAUGUCGUAUUUCUAGCAAAGUUAUAAAAGUAUUUUCGCCGAACGGUGGUAUGCACGUGCAGUAGAUACGCCUUAUAAUUUGUCUGCAAUUACUAACAAUAAGUUUGAAAGCAUGCACAUACAUCAAUACAAAGACAACAUUUGAAACACUUAUCGUAUACGUGGAUCGUAACAAGAUCGCAACUGUUGACUGCGUGUAUAGUCCGUACCAGAAAUUACGACUUGGAAAAAUAAUGAGUCUUGGAUAAUCAGUUGUGAAAACAUCAGUUGACGCAUAUGCAAUAUCCCCACCUCGUACAUGUUGUGUUGACUGUGAAUCAGCUUACACAUGCCCAAUCCAUACAUAGACACAAUCACGUGUUGUUUUGAUAGCCAAAAUGAAGUAGAAGAAUGACGUUACUCGAAGUUAGUAAGCAAUGGAGUGGCAGGUACCAAGGACAAGACUAUAAUUCGUCAGGCAUUAUUGAAGCAGCAGCUUAAAUACGCCAGCACGUCAUUCGCUGUAUUGCAUAUUUUUUGUAACCGCCACAGCUAGAUUGUAUAUUUCUUUCCUAAAAUGAGUGGGCUAUCGCUUUGGAUAAGUAAUAAUCUCUAACUGUACGAAUCUAUGGCGUUUAUCUGCGUUGCAGUUUUGUAGCUUGUCAGGAAAACCAGCACCAGGUUUUCCGGUCUGCUGCAUCUGACGUUGAUGGAAUAUGAAGGGUCAGAGUCGGAAACGACGCUUUCACUUUCUACAAUCUACAUUGUAGCUGACAUUCUACAUGCUUCGAAAAGGCAUGGCGGCGUAACAGUACAUAAUGACACGAUACCAGCUGUUGAUGCUACGCUUUGGCCUGAAGCUUGCGGUUAGUUAUUUAGUUUUUCAACAGUAUUCGAACAAAAAGUGGAAAUAUUGCGUCGAGGUAAGGCUGUAUUUCUUCUUGAUCGACUGUAAUUACCACCGCUACAGAAUUUCCAAUUACUCGUGAAUGGAGAUGUGAAAUACAAUCCAGUGAACACAAUUAUGUCAAACUGAUGUCCGAAUGACGUCAUGUCACGUCAUGAUUUACGUAAGAUGUGAGUCAUAUAUGAGUCACAUAUGACUCAUAAUUUCCCACUUCCUGACGUAAGAAUCUUACGUAAGAUAAAUGACGUAAAUAUGACCUCCAGUUGACAUCAUUAUGACUUGACUGGCUUCAAAAUGACAUAACUCUGAUGUCAUAGAGAAGUAAAGUCGGUACCGGAAGCUUACAAAAAUAUGACGUCCAGCUGACGUACUUGUUAUUUAGCUGACGUCAAGAUGACUUAAAUUUGAGGUAAAAUAGUGAUAUAAAGUUGCGUCCAAUGCUUACAAAAUUGUAACGUCUGGCUGACAUGAUUAUCACUUACCUGACGUCUCGAUGACAUAACUCUGAUGUCAUAGUGAUAAAAAGUAUUUAAGAAUGCUUAUAAUAAUAUAACUGUUACAACAGACCUUGUAAAGUCAAAAUGUUUAUAUUUUUCAUCUAUAAAUAGUGAUUAUUUUGUUACUGUACCUCUAUUACAAUAUAAUAAUUGAUUUUGAA